UACGUAGGGUGCGAGCGUUGUCCGGAAUUAUUGGGCGUAAAGGGCUCGUAGGCGGUCUGUUGCGUCAGGAGUGAAAUCCCCGGGCUUAACCUGGGAACUGCGCUUGUUACUGGCAAGCUUGAGUGUGGCAGAGGGGGGUGGAAUUCCACGUGUAGCAGUGAAAUGCGUAGAGAUGUGGAGGAACACCGAUGGCGAAGGCAGCCCCCUGGGCUAACACUGACGCUCAUGCACGAAAGCGUGGGGAGCAAACAGG
rnacentral:rRNA from 1 species